rnacentral:tRNA from 1 species
UUUGAAUUAGCCAAGAGGUUAAGGCGUCAGAUAGCUUUAUCUGAAGACACGGGUUCGAUUCCCGUAUUCAACACCC